rnacentral:rRNA from 1 species
UACGUAGGGGGCUAGCGUUGUCCGGAUUUAUUGGGCGUAAAGCGCGCGCAGGCGGUUUCUUAAGUCUGAUGUGAAAGCCCACGGCUCAACCGUGGAGGGUCAUUGGAAACUGGGGAACUUGAGUGCAGAAGAGGAAAGCGGAAUUCCACGUGUAGCGGUGAAAUGCGUAGAGAUGUGGAGGAACACCAGUGGCGAAGGCGGCUUUUUGGUCUGUAACUGACGCUGAGGCGCGAAAGCGUGGGGAGCAAACAGG